rnacentral:rRNA from 1 species
AACGAACGCUGGCGGCAUGCCUAACACAUGCAAGUCGAACGAGACCUUCGGGCAUCGUGGCGCACUGGUGCGUAACGCGUGGGAACCUGCUCUUAGGUUCGGAAUAGCUUCCCGAAAGGGGUUCUAAUACCGGAUCAUGUCCUCAGACCAAAGAUUUGUCGCCUUUGGAUGGGCCCGCGUUUGAUUAGCUAGUUGGUAGGGUAAAAGCCUAUCAAGGCGACGAUCCAUAGCUGGUAUGAGAGGAUGAGCAGCCACACUGGGACUGAGACACGGCCGAGACUACUACGGGAGGCAGCAGUGGGGAAUAUAGGAAAGUGGGGGAAAGGCUGAUGCAGCAAUGCCGCGUGAGUGAUGAAGGCCUUAGGGUUGUAAAGAUCUUUUACCCGGGAUGAUAAUGACAGUACCGGGAGAAUAAGCUCCGGCUAACUCCGUG